UACAGAGGUCCCAAGCGUUGUUCGGAUUCACUGGGCGUAAAGGGUGCGUAGGUGGUCGGGUAAGUCUGAUGUGAAAUCCCCGGGCUCAACCUGGGAACUGCAUUCGAAACUGCAUUGCUAGAGUAUGGAAGAGGGAAGUGGAAUUUCCGGUGUAGCGGUGAAAUGCGUAGAUAUCGGAAGGAACACCAGUGGCGAAAGCGACUUCCUGGUCCAAUACUGACGUUCAUGUGCGAAAGCGUGGGGAGCAAACAGG
rnacentral:rRNA from 1 species